GAUGAACGCUGGCGGCGUGCCUAACACAUGCAAGUCGAACGGAGUCGUUUUGGAAAUCUCUUCGGAGAUGGAAUUCUCGACUUAGUGGCGGACGGGUGAGUAACGCGUGAGCAAUCUGCCUUUAAGAGGGGGAUAACAGUCGGAAACGGCUGCUAAUACCGCAUAAAGCAUUAAAUUCGCAUGUUUUUGAUGCCAAAGGAGCAAUCCGCUUUUAGAUGAGCUCGCGUCUGAUUAGCUAGUUGGCGGGGUAACGGCACACCAAGGCGACGAUCAGUAGCCGGACUGAGAGGUUGAACGGCCACAUUGGGACUGAGACACGGCCCAGACUCCUACGGGAGGCAGCAGUGGGGAAUAUUGCGCAAUGGGGGAAACCCUGACGCAGAAACGCCGCGUGAGUGAAGAAGGCCUUCGGGUUGUAAAGAUCUUUAAUCAGGGACGAAACAAAUGACGGUACCUGAAGAAUAAGCGCCGGCUAACUACGUG
rnacentral:rRNA from 1 species